AUUGCAUGAGACCGGUGUUCCCAGCCGCGGUUGCGGCUGGAGAUCUGAGAAAUACGGUCCGAACUUGAUCAGGUUCAAGCCUGCGAAAGGACAUCAUGCUUUGCGGCCC
rnacentral:ncRNA from 1 species